rnacentral:rRNA from 1 species
GACGAACGCUGGCGGCGUGCUUAACACAUGCAAGUCGAACGGAAAGGCCCUGCUUUUGUGGGGUGCUCGAGUGGCGAACGGGUGAGUAACACGUGAGUAACCUGCCCUUGACUUUGGGAUAACUUCAGGAAACUGGGGCUAAUACCGGAUAGGAGCUCCUGCUGCAUGGUGGGGGUUGGAAAGUUUCGGCGGUUUGGGAUGGACUCGCGGCUUAUCAGCGUGUUGGUGGGGUAGUGGCUUACCAAGGCUUUGACGGGUAGCCGGCCUGGGAGGGUGACCGGCCACAUUGGGCCUGGGAUGCGGCCCGGACUCCUACGGGAGGCAGCGGUGGGGAAUAUUGCACGAUGGGCGGAGGCCUGAUGCAGCAACGCCGCGUGCGGGAUGUCGGCCUUCGGGUUGUAAACCGCUUUCGCCUGUGACGAAGCGUGAGUGACGGUAAUGGGUAAAGAAGCACCGGCUAACUACGUG